rnacentral:rRNA from 1 species
GACGUAGGUGGCGAACGUUAUCCGGAUUUACUGGGCGUAAAGGGCGCGUAGGCGGCCUGUGCAAGUCAGUUGUGAAAUCUCCGGGCUUAACUCGGAACGGUCAACUGAUACUGCUCGGCUAGAGUGCGGAAGGGGCAACUGGAAUUCUUGGUGUAGCGGUGAAAUGCGUAGAUAUCAAGAGGAACACCUGCGGCGAAGGCGGGUUGCUGGGCCGACACUGACGCUGAUGCGCGAAAGCUAGGGGAGCGAAGCGGG